rnacentral:rRNA from 1 species
GACGAACGCUGGCGGCGUGCUUAACACAUGCAAGUCGAACGGAAAGGCCCUGCUUUUGUGGGGUGCUCGAGUGGCGAACGGGUGAGUAACACGUGAGUAACCUGCCCUUGACUUUGGGAUAACUUCAGGAAACUGGGGCUAAUACCGGAUAGGAGCUCCUGCUGCAUGGUGGGGGUUGGAAAGUUUCGGCGGUUGGGGAUGGACUCGCGGCUUAUCAGCUUGUUGGUGGGGUAGUGGCUUACCAAGGCUUUGACGGGUAUCCGGCCUGAGAGGGUGACCGGCCACAUUGGGACUGAGAUACGGCCCAGACUCCUACGGGAGGCAGCAGUGGGGAAUAUUGCACAAUGGGCGGAAGCCUGAUGCAGCAACGCCGCGUGCGGGAUGACGGCCUUCGGGUUGUAAACCGCUUUCGCCUGUGACGAAGCGUGAGUGACGGUAAUAGGUAAAGAAGCACCGGCUAACUACGUG